rnacentral:ribozyme from 1 species
ACUCGUCUGAGCGAGUAUAAAUAGUAUCCUUAGGCUCAGAGCGUCACAUAUUUAUGUGGGUGGAU